UGUUCCACAGGGAAAGGAGUAAAAAACAAAAUGAAAAGGAAGAGGAAUACUGGAGACCUAAAUCACGUUACAUGAACCGAUCUGCCAAGUUUGUUUCCGACCAGGCCAAGGCCUGUUGCUGGAAGCUGACAAGCCUCAGCGGGAAAGGGGUCCCAGAGAGGGAGAAGAGACAAAGUGCUGGGAAUAUGAAUUUGUGUAUUUCUAUUCUGAACCAUUUCUCACCACCCCGUCUACAACAUCAGCAAACCAGUGCCUUCCAGCCGGUGAGAUGCUGUUGGUGCUGGAGCAAGAGCUGGCCUGAGGAGUUGCAGAGAGGUCCUAUGGCCCAGAGCAGAGUGCAGAAACCCUGACAGCCUCACUGGCAUUUAUCUAGUGGAAGCCAGGGCACUGACUUGCCCCUUGGCUAUCAGCCAGCACAAAGGUUUGGCUGCAUUCCUCUGCUCUUGGAGGACUACCCUGAGAACUGCAGAAGGCAGGAAUGUUGUAGAAGCACAACAGCAAUUAUUUGCCUGGAAGGAGAGCUGCUGUUUUGUGUGAGAGCUCUCCUGGGCCAUUACAGCUUAGGGUAGGGAGAGUAAGAAUGUCACAUCGGGAUGAAAGGAAUUUGGCAUGAGGAAGGCUGAAAGUACCUGAUCACUGAGAUUCUCUAGAUAUUUUUGGCAGCUACAAUGGUCCUGUGGAGUCAGAGCCUGUGAUGGACACCUACUGAGAAAUACGUCUUUAAGGCAUAAGCCUCUGGUAGGAUGCAAAGGUCUAGAUGUUACACAUCUGUUUGGAAUGGGAUAUAAUUCAAAACAGAUGCCUUAAGCAUCAAUAGAUCAGCAGGACAGGAUCAUAGUGUAAAUAGUAGAAAGGGGCUCAGAGAGUCACACUAGCACUGCGAUUAUAUGAUAAAUUUGGAAAAUAAAUUGAAGGGAAUUUAAAUAAUAUUGCACUCAAGAUCUGCAAGCAAUGCUUGCCAGUAAAGAGAAAGAAAGUAAAAAUAACUUAAUAAAUAUUUUUUAUAGCAGCUUGAUUUUGGAAGACUUACAGGAAACUAACUAGGAAAACAUAAGGAGAAGUCAUAGAGAACAUAAAACAUAGAAGUAACCUAAAAAAAAAAAAAAAAAAAAAAGGACAAGAAUAAGUUAAAAUCAGAAGAAUCCAUGACUACACUAAAGAUGUAGGAACUAUAUCUGAGAGUUUUAUUUCUAGAGAGAUCAGAUCAUGUUUCAGCUCUUGUGAUCAGAUGAUCAGAUCAUUUUUGAGCAUCAUUUGUGCACUGUGACCAAGAGCACAAGCCCGUGUGAUACCUGGACCACUGGAAAAGAUUCAGGAACUGAAAAAGAUGGAUAUCACUUUGGAAGAGCUUGCAAGAGUCAGUAAGGUGUGCACAGCAUGGGCAUAGUGGCUCAGAAUUUCUUCUAGGAGCAAAAGGCACUGAGAUGGUACACAUAUCAGGUUAAUCAGUGUAGUGUUAAUUUUCAGCACACGUCAACUAACAUGCUGCCAAAAAAGUGUUAAUGCACUUAAAGGAAAUCUUAAGGGAACACAAAGGAAGACAGUUGACUCAGAGAGCUUAAAAUCACAAGGCCAGCCCCUUAUAUAUGAAAUAAAUAAAUAUAUAAUAGAUGGAAAAAGAGAAGUACCUUUGAGACAGUCAAGGUGAUCUAAGCUUGUAAAGCCUACAUAAUAUGAGUAUAAAAAGCUGAGAAAGAAUUUGAAGCCAUUUCUUUAUGGAUCAAGAUCUCAUGAGUAUUAAAUAAUGUAGAAAAGAGUUGAGUUGUCCAACAGUUCUCACACAUGCACAAGUCCUUCACAUCGCAAGACCACGCUUAAAGAAGGAGCAGGAUAUGCUCAUUGCUCUGAGAUGGCUGGAGGAACUGAUAGAGUAGUUCUUGUAGUUAUAGAAAAGACAAAUGAAACCUCUUGUUUGUCCAUAGAUAGACCUGAAGGAACAAAACAAGACUGUUACAGUGCCAAGUGGAGUUAUGGUCAGUGACAAAUACCUUUCUGUCUUUAGUACAUCACUGGGCUCCUGGCAGGUGUUCAUAUUUGGAAAAAGAAAAGAGCAGGUGUUUCUGAACUUCCAUAAAACCUUUGUGAGCUGCACUGUUUUCUCAGAUGUCUAUUUAGGCUGCAUUUGGCACCUGAGAAAAAAAAAAGUGAUAAAUUUUUCAUGCCAUUCAGGUUAGUGAGAUUUAUACAGAUGACAUUUAGAUCUGAUGAAAAACACUGGCUCAGAGAAGCCAUGGAACAAAACUGUGCUUCUGGGCUGAAGCUGGACAAACAGCACUGUAAAUGCCAUGUAACACAAAUAAUAAUAUAGAAGAAGAAAAGUUAGAACAAAAAAAACUAACAAGUCAAUCAUCAAAAAAUAUGCAGCAAUUUGUCUGCUCCAGCAAUAUUUGGAUGCUGAAUUUUGUAGAGAAACAUACACCUAAUGCAGAUUUUCCAACUGCCAUCAGGCAAAGAUUCCCAAUGAUCU